AGGAUUCAUCUUUGUGAGAGACAGAGGACCCUGUUGAAUUCUGAGUGAGCAGCAUUUCAAUUCCACAUGCCACGCUGCUGGUGGUGGGGGAGUGACAGGCAGUGACGGUGGGUACACAGCGUAACCUUUAGAGUGGAGCCACAGGAGCAUGACGGCCAGACUCCAAGCCUGUCCCCCUGGGGUGAGGCAGAGGAGAGCCCAGAACACCACAGCAGACCUUGUCUAUUUCCAUCCCCCUUUCCCGGUCCCUUCCUGACGACACAGGCGGC